UAUGGUGGUUUUGCCGGGGGUGUUCACCUCUUCCCAUUCCGAACAGAGAAGUUAAGCCCCCCAUGGCCGAUGGUACUUGCACCUUGCUGGGAGAGUAGGUAGCUGCCAUAU
rnacentral:rRNA from 1 species